UAAGGUACCGUUCUGAUUGUCUGCAAUUAAUGUUUAAGCAAGUGCAGUUUGACGUUUUCUUUACAAACCAGUUGUGAAUGCCUCUGAACUAAUGUAAUCACAGUGCUGUUAAAUGCCCAGUGGCCACAACACUUUUUACCAUAGUAACUGUCGUUUUACUGUGGUAUUUGUAGUUAAAACACAGUAAACACAAUACUUACCAUGGUUUUACCACAGUAGCUUUGGAUAAAAUAGUCUGUUAUGUAAAUGUAACUGUUUUUACUGCACACUAUUUGAAAAGCACAACACUAACCAUGAUUUUACUAUAAUUACUGUGUUUGUGUACUCUUUGUAGUUAAAGCACAGUACACAACACUUAACAUACUUUGAAAACUGUGUUUUUACUGUGUAAUGUUACUAUUUGUAGUUAAAGCACAGUAACACAACAUUUACCAUGUUUUUACCACAGUAAUGUAGUUUUAAUGUGGUAUUUGUAGUUAAAACACAGUAUCCACAACACUUACCGUGUUUUACCACAGUAACUGUGUUUUUACUGUGUACUAUUUGUAGUUAAAGCACAAAAACACAACAUUUACCAUGUUUUUACCACAGUAACGUAGUUUUAAUGUGGUAUUUGUAGUUAAUCACAUAACUUGCCAUGCCUUUAAUACUUUUAUGUAAAAAAAAUGUAAUUCAAUAUUUUUUUGUCUUGCAGUUUCUUCAGAUCACAUACAUCUCCAUCUCCUACAACAACCUUUAGUGUCCAGCAGCUGUUUAACAGCUCUCUCUCUCUCUCUCUCUCUCUCUCAGCUUUUCCUUGCCUAUUUUUCUGAACUGUUAUUCAUAAUUAAUUUACACAUUUUUGCUCUCUUUCUUCCUUUCUCUUUUUCAUCAUGGCAUAUUUUCAAAGCUCAGAACCGAAUUUUGAUCGGUUAUGUCAAAAAGCUGCUAAUAUUAACAGCUAAAAAGGAAGACCAAAGGAAGGCCUGUUGAACUCUUGUCUUGUUUGUGGAGAGGGAUGAAUUUGGCCAUCUUGUGUGUUUAUGGAGAAGACCAAAAGCUGCAAAGGCAAACAUUUCCAAUGGUACGUCUGUGUUGGUCUUAACCCUUUGACUGAACUUUACGGCAGUUACAUUUUGCACAGCAUUUGAUGUUUCUUAAACUUUGGUUUACAUAUCCCACGGCCCCAUCAGGAAGAGCCCUCAACAAAGUCUUACGCCGAAGUAGUAAUAAUCCAUAGAAUUUCAGCAAAUUCAUAUGAUAUACUGUAUAUUCCUACAAAGUUCUACGACUUCUACUCUUACUGCUGUCAUUGGCCUUUGCCUCAACUCUCGUGCAGAUUGUGCCCAUUGAUUUCUCACAUACUACUCCAUCAGCUCUCCACAAUAUCAGCCGUUUCAAAAGCUUCCACAUCUCUGUCUCUCUC